rnacentral:rRNA from 1 species
AGUGAACGCUGGCGGUAGGCCUAACACAUGCAAGUCGAACGGCAGCACAGUAAGAGCUUGCUCUUACGGGUGGCGAGUGGCGGACGGGUGAGGAAUACAUCGGAAUCUACCUUUUCGUGGGGGAUAACGUAGGGAAACUUACGCUAAUACCGCAUACGACCUACGGGUGAAAGCAGGGGAUCUUCGGACCUUGCGCGAUUGAAUGAGCCGAUGUCGGAUUAGCUAGUUGGCGGGGUAAAGGCCCACCAAGGCGACGAUCCGUAGCUGGUCUGAGAGGAUGAUCAGCCACACUGGAGCUGAGACACGGUCCAGACUCCGAAGGGAGGCAGCAGUGGGGAAUAUUGGACAAUGGGCGCAAGCCUGAUCCAGCCAUACCGCGUGGGUGAAGAAGGCCUUCGGGUUGUAAAGCCCUUUUGUUGGGAAAGAAAAGCAGCAGGUUAAUACCCCGCUGUUCUGACGGUACCCAAAGAAUAAGCACCGGCUAACUUCGUG